rnacentral:rRNA from 1 species
UGGGGAAUAUUGGACAAUGGGCGCAAGCCUGAUCCAGCAAUGCCGCGUGAGUGAAGAAGGCCUUAGGGUUGUAAAACUCUUUUAGUGGGGAGGAGAUUGACGUUACCCACAGAAAAAGCACCGGCUAACUUCGUGCCAGCAGCCGCGGUAAUACGAAGGGUGCUAGCGUUACUCGGAAUUACUGGGCGUAAAGAGCGCGUAGGCGGCUUAACAAGUUGGAAGUGAAAUCCCAGGGCUCAACUCUGGAAUUGCUUUCAAAACUGUUUCGCUAGAGAUUGGUAGGGGAUAGUGGAAUUCCUAGUGUAGAGGUGAAAUUCGUAGAUAUUAGGAGGAACACCGGUGGCGAAGGCGACUGUCUGGACCAAAUCUGACGCUGUGGCGCGAAAGCGUGGGGAGCAAA